rnacentral:rRNA from 1 species
GAGGAUGGCGGACGGGUGAGUAACGCGUAAGGAACUUGCCUCUUGGACUGGGACAACUGUUGGAAACGACAGCUAAUACCGGAUAUUAUGAGAUUCUCGCAUGAGAAACUUAUGAAAGCUAUAUGCGCCAAGAGAGAGCCUUGCGUUCCAUUAGCUAGUUGGUGGGGUAACGGCCCACCAAGGCGACGAUGGAUAGCCGGCCUGAGAGGGUGAACGGCCACAAGGGGACUGAGACACGGCCCUUACUCCUACGGGAGGCAGCAGUGGGGAAUAUUGGACAAUGGGCCACAAGCCUGAUCCAGCAAUUCUGUGUGCACGAUGAAGGUCUUCGGAUUGUAAAGUGCUUUCAGUUGGGAAGAAGAAAGUGACGGUACCAACAGAAGAAGCGACGGCUAAAUACGUGCCAGCAGCCGCGGUAAUACGUAUGUCGCAAGCGUUAUCCGGAUUUAUUGGGCGUAAAGCGCGUCUAGGCGGAAAAAUAAGUCUGAUGUUAAAAUGCGGGGCUCAACUCCGUAUUGCGUUGGAAACUGUUUUUCUAGAGUACUGGAGAGGUGGGCGGAACUACAAGUGUAGAGGUGAAAUUCGUAGAUAUUUGUAGGAAUGCCGAUGGA